rnacentral:rRNA from 1 species
UACGAAGGGGGCUAGCGUUGCUCGGAAUCACUGGGCGUAAAGCGCACGUAGGCGGCUUGUUAAGUCAGGGGUGAAAUCCUGGAGCUCAACUCCAGAACUGCCUUCGAUACUGGGAGUCUCGAGUUCGGGAGAGGUGAGUGGAACUGCGAGUGUAGAGGUGAAAUUCGUAGAUAUUCGCAAGAACACCAGUGGCGAAGGCGGCUCACUGGCCCGGUACUGACGCUGAGGUGCGAAAGCGUGGGGAGCAAACAGG